rnacentral:rRNA from 1 species
AUGUGGUAUGCGCCGCGCCGCCUCCUUUGGCGCGGGAACGCCCCUGUCCGCGGGUCUUCGUCAUGCUGCCGGGUUCCUCGCCUACUUCGAGCACCACCGCCGCCGCCGCUGCCCAUCCACCCUCCUCGUCUUCAUCCAAGCACUAGCCCAUCGCCAGCGUCGCCGUCAUCUACCCCGACCACUUCGUCUACUCUGACCACCCUUGGUGAUAUCGGCCCCGCGCUGAUGGACGCCGCAAUCAUCGUCGAUUUCUUCCCCGCUGGCCUCUCUGACUUCUCCGACAUGGCGCACAGCUCGUGCAGGUUCCAAUCUACGCAUGCCCGGUGCUGGCAGCACCUGUGCUUGCCUUCGUCCAUGACGUGUCCCCGGGCCUGGCAAGCUUGGUGCAGCGUUUCUCUAGACACCAUCAACACAUCCAGGCAGUACACAGGCUGUGACUUGCUAAUGGCACAGCAUUCUCAUAUGCUGCUUAUUGGUUGA